rnacentral:rRNA from 1 species
UACGAAGGGGGCUAGCGUUGCUCGGAUUUACUGGGCGUAAAGGGCGCGUAGGCGGACAGUUAAGUCGGGGGUGAAAGCCCAGGGCUCAACCCUGGAAUUGCCUUUGAUACUGGCUGUCUUGAGUACGGGAGAGGUGAGUGGAACUCCGAGUGUAGAGGUGAAAUUCGUAGAUAUUCGGAAGAACACCAGUGGCGAAGGCGACUCACUGGCCCGUUACUGACGCUGAGGCGCGAAAGCGUGGGGAGCAAACAGG